CCGGAUACUCCGGCAGGGCUGCACCGCACAAAGCAGCCCAGCCCCACCGCACC
rnacentral:ncRNA from 1 species